rnacentral:rRNA from 1 species
AUUGAACGCUGGCGGCAUGCCUUACACAUGCAAGUCGAACGGCAGCGCGGACUUCGGUCUGGCGGCGAGUGGCGAACGGGUGAGUAAUACAUCGGAACGUACCCUGUUGUGGGGGAUAACUAGUCGAAAGAUUAGCUAAUACCGCAUACGACCUGAGGGUGAAAGUGGGGGACCGCAAGGCCUCACGCAGCAGGAGCGGCCGAUGUCUGAUUAGCUAGUUGGUGGGGUAAAGGCCCACCAAGGCGACGAUCAGUAGCUGGUCUGAGAGGACGAUCAGCCAAACUGGGACUGAGACAAGGCCCAGACUCCUAAGGGAGGCAGCAGUGGGGAAUUUUGGAAAAUGGGGGCAACCCUGAUCCAGCAAUGCCGCGUGUGUGAAGAAGGCCUUCGGGUUGUAAAGCACUUUUGUCCGGAAAGAAAUCGCGCUGGUUAAUACCUGGCGUGGAUGACGGUACCGGAAGAAUAAGCACCGGCUAACUACGUGCCAGCCGCCGCAGUAAUAC